rnacentral:rRNA from 1 species
UACGUAGGGGGCCAGCGUUGUCCGGAAUCAUUGGGCGUAAAGCGCGCGUAGGCGGCCAGAUAAGUCCGGUGUGAAAGUCAAAGGCUCAACCUUUGAAUGCCGCUGGAAACUGUCUGGCUUGAGUCCGGAAGGGGCGAGUGGAAUUCCUGGUGUAGCGGUGAAAUGCGCAGAUAUCAGGAGGAACACCAAUGGCGAAGGCAGCUCGCUGGGACGUGACUGACGCUGAGACGCGAAAGCGUGGGGAGCAAACAGG